rnacentral:rRNA from 1 species
AUACCCUAUUAUUUAUUUUUUUUUUAUUGAUUAUUAUUAGUUAUUUUCUUUAAAAAUCAAAGAUUUUGGCGGUUAGUUAAUUCUUUUUAGAGGAGCAUGUGUUUUAAUUGAUAUUCCACGAUAUUUUUUACCAAAAUUUUAUUUGUAUAUCUCUAUUGUAAGAUUAUUAUUAAAAUAAUUAUCUUUUUCUUUUUAAGAUAAAUUUUAGGUCAAGAUGCAGUUUUAUUUUGGGUUUCAUGUGUUAUUUUAAUUAUAUAUUAUUAUAUAAUCUUAUUGGUAAUAUUUAGGAUUUAAUAGUAAAUUUAAUUAAUUAAUUAUUUUUAAUUUAGUUCUAAUUAAU